rnacentral:rRNA from 1 species
UCAGGUAGAGAAUACUCAGGCGCUUGAGAGAACUCGGGUGAAGGAACUAGGCAAAAUGGUGCCGUAACUUCGGGAGAAGGCACGCUGGCAUUAGGUAAAGGGACUUGCUCCCGGCGCCGAAGCCAGUCGCAGAUACCAGCUGGCUGCAACUGUUUAAUAAAAACACAGCACUGUGCAAACACGAAAGUGGACGUAUACGGUGUGACGCCUGCCCGGUGCUGGAAGGUUAAUUGAUGGGGUCAGCCGCAAGGCGAAGCUCUUGAUCGAAGCCCCAGUAAACGGCGGCCGUAACUAUAACGGUCCUAAGGUAGCGAAAUUCCUUGUCGGGUAAGUUCCGACCUGCACGAAUGGCGUAAUGAUGGCCAGGCUGUCUCCACCCGAGACUCAGUGAAAUUGAACUCGCUGUGAAGAUGCAGUGUACCCGCGGCAAGACGGAAAGACCCCGUGAACCUUUACUAUAGCUUGACACUGAACAUUGAGCCUUGAUGUGUAGGAUAGGUGGGAGGC